rnacentral:rRNA from 1 species
UACGGGGGGGGCAAGCGUUGUUCGGAAUUACUGGGCGUAAAGGGCUCGUAGGCGGCCAACUAAGUCGGAUGUGAAAUCCCCAGGCUUAACCUGGGAAUUGCAUCCGAUACUGGAUGGCUUGAAUCCGGGAGAGGGAUGCGGAAUUCCAGGUGUAGCGGUGAAAUGCGUAGAUAUCUGGAGGAACACCGGUGGCGAAGGCGGCAUCCUGGACCGGCAUUGACGCUGAGGAGCGAAAGCCAGGGGGAGCAAACGGG